rnacentral:tRNA from 1 species
AGCCUUAUAUUCAUUUAUGAUAUAAAAUUGCAAAUUUUAAGGUGUAAAAAUAAAUUACUAAGGCUU